rnacentral:piRNA from 1 species
UGUGUCAGAGGCAAGCAAACAGG